rnacentral:tRNA from 1 species
GGAAAUAUGAUGACCAAGUAAAAGCUGCUAACUUUUUUCUUUAAUGGUUAAAAUCCAUUUAUAUUUCUUU